CAGACAAAACCAACCUUUUGAAAAAUAUUGUUUAUGAGAAAACAUGAUCGAUUGCUUGGUCGUUUAGUCACUGCGACCAAUCUUCGAUUAUUUCAAUAAAUCGGACCACCACUAGUCUUGACAGGCCUUAAAGAUUUGGUUACAAAUUUAGUGUCUCAAGAAUUGUAUCUACCAUACAUGUGAUUCCAACAAUUUAUAUUUGUGGUUGUCUUCUUAACAACUUUGCUGGGUUUUUUUAUUUGACUCAUUGGGACCUUAGGAAUUUAUUUGUCGUGUCAGGGUGAUGAUAAGUAAUUGUGAUGCUUCUUUGCUAAUUUUACACUUGUUCCUUUUGACGUGACAAAAAUAGGAAUCACAUGUAAAACGCUACCUAAGAUCGAUGUUCUUAACUUAAUGUGCCUUGAAGCGACAGAUCAUUUAGCCCUAAUUUGAUUGGUCAAAAUGUUAAUACCCUAUCCCAUAUAAAGUAUUGGGUGGCAUUGUUCAAAGACAUGAACCUUCUUUAAAUGACUGAGUCAGAAUCAAUCCGGGAUAUGGAGUAAUGCAGUAAUUAUCCUGAACGACUUUGUGUGAUUACUAUGUAACACAAAGGCUUCCUGUACACACUGAGCGUGAUUUCAAAGUAAUACUAAGUAAUACUAAGUAAUACUAACUGUAAUACUGUACUUUCUGUACAGACUUAUGUGACCUGUGUUACAAACAAUGGACACAUGUUUCAGUAAUACAUUUGAGACACAUCAUUCUGUGUUACGAUCAUUUCAUCAUCGAAGCUUUGCGUCUUUAAUGCAUUUAUGGCUUUUGUUUUCAUUGAUUGGUUCAUGGUAUGGUAUGUUUUAUCGGAAAAAGAUUAUAAGUUUUAAGUCUGUCACUUACUUUUUUAAAAAGAGCCACAAAAUAGAUUUCUGGCAUCCACAUUCUAUUUUUUCUGUCAGGUAAUUAUUGAUUUUGGUCUCUUUGAAAAAAUUACCUAGUGGAUUUCUAUAAUAAGGUGAAAAUGUACUUGUCAAAUUUUUUCCCAUCAAUAAUGUGAUUUUCAUGCAAAAUUCUUUUUUUUUUCUAGAUAUAUUUUUUCCAGAUCUGUUUGGUCAUUGGUGAAAAUAGAUAUUUGUGGGGAAAAAAAUUGUCCUCGAUUUCUUAAAAUUUGAAAUUGAGGCAAACACAAAAACUAAAUUUCAAAUUGUAUGUUACAUACAUGUAUAUGUUUUACAUAGUGUUUUACAAGUUAACAAAAUUGGAAAAAAGUAAUGGAAUUAUGGAGUUUUUUUCCAACAUUUGUAAAAUUUUGGUCAGUAGAUUUGUAAUCCACUAACAACAUAAUAUGACAGAAAUAUCUAUUUGUAGGCACAGUUAUCAAUAUACAGAUAGUAAAACAUAAUGGGUCGUAAUAAAGUUAGUAAUUUUACUAAUUGUGGCAUUUAGUUUCAGUAUAGUUCCUAACGCUCUAAUCAUCGAUACUCUUCCUUUGAUUGUGCUGCAUUAUGGGAGUUUUUGUAUUCCUUUACCGAUUGUAUUUUUGAUGUGGUUUUAAGACUGACGAAGACACAAUAUAUUUUGUAAGGAGCUUGCAUUUGCUUAGUUUUAUGUUCUGAAUAAUUCUUUUUACUUUCAUACGGUGCUACACACAUUUGUCUUUCCUGAUGUUUGAUAAUACUGAUGGUCGAUAUCUGCCAUAUUUUCAGAAGUGUUGCUAGGCAACAGAAUUUUCUCGUGUUGAGAAAUUUUGUCAAACAGUGACACUGUGAGUGAUUCCUGAGAUUUCAAUCAGCAUGGUUGUCGGAAAGAUAUAUUCUGGUAUAGCAAAUGUUCGUAUUGUCGAAUGCAACAUGAAAGAACGAACAAACGUCAAAAAACCAAAUUGCUGCAGUAUCUCCAUGACUCGAUAAGAUAUUUUUCUUUCAGGGUCAGUCACUUCACAGUGUCAUCACUUAAUCCUGAAUGGAUAAAGGCAAAAUAUAAAAUCCUGGAAAAAAUUUGAGUGCUGUCCCAGUAAUUACAAUAUCAAUAUCAAUUUUUGUCAAAUGUAUGCACAAGAAAAAAGUUAAGCACCACUACAUUAUUUAUAUAUUCCUGAACUGUGUAUAUUUUGUUAAUAUCUACAGGAAGAAUUAGUCUAAUUUGGUACGUGUCUAAGAUAACACAAAUACUUGUUUAAAUGUCAGAACACCGUUCUGUGUGCCACCAGGUGUCAAAUGUGACUCGAUAUCUUUGCAGUUAUUUUAAAUGCCAGUUGAAAAUGUAGCAAUGGAACAGAUGCUAAAUAUUUCCUUCGACAAUCAAUUUGGGUUUCCUUAUUUCCAUAUGAAGACUAUCCUUUAUGAAAAUAAGUCCCUUUAAAUUGAUGACAAAUUCUUUUUGGAGAUAAAUCUCUUUUGCUAAGUCACAAAUUUUACAAAUGGCCAUUUCAUUGGGAAUUGUGUAAAGUGGUGCUUGUCUUGUUCCUCUGUGUGUGCACUGAUAUAUGUAUAUUGAAUAAAAAUUCCUGAUUUUAUAAGUCCCCCAAUCCUGACAAUGCUGAGUCUCUUUUUUUUCUGAAACUAAUACAUUGACAACAGUUGACAAAUUUUGAAGGCAGCAUUUUUCAGGCAUAGUGCUCUUGACCAUUUACUGACCGCUCAUCUGUUUUGUGACAGAUAUCGACAUCCAGUAACGUAUAUGUGCGACUCAUUUGCGCAUUUUUCUUUGUACAUUUCAUUUUAGACUGUGAAUACGCCCAUUAAACACCCCCAUUAUCUGUCUUGCUAUAAUAUGCUGUACCUAUGCAAUGUUUUGUAUGUUUGUAUAUUUCAUAGACAGCAUCCUUAAAGGAUUUAUUCCAUGCCAAAUAUUUGGCAAGUUUGAUUUCUGAUUAGUCUAGUGGACAAUCACUUGUAUAUUUCAAUAGACAUCUGUAAAAGUAUUGUCAGUAUCUAUCUAUAUAUAUAGUAAUCUGCAAAAACCUGAAAACAGAGGGGCAGUGGGGUAGCCUUGUGGUUAAGGCAUUCGCUUGUCACACCGAAGACCCGGGUUUGAUUCCCCACAUGGGUACAAUGUAUGAAGCCCAUUUCUGGUGUCCCCUGCCGUGAUAUUGCUGGAAUAUUACUAAAAGCAGUGUAAAUCUAAACUCACUCACUGAAAACAGAGACAUAUCUGUAUAUGUUUUCUCUGAAAACAAUGACAACUGUUCUGCCAUAUUUUCUCGGACAGAGCAUGUGAUCCGUUGUAUUUGUUAUUAACAUAACAAGAUUUCUUCUAUUUUCAGAUAAUCAGGUACUUAAAAUCAUUUAAUGUUGAUGCUAUUUGAAUAUGAGGUCUAAAUUGAAAUUCCUAGAUCAGAAAUUGUUAUUGAUGUAUAAUAACAUAGAAAUUGUUAUUGGUGUCUAAUAACAUAGAAAUUACAGUUUUUUCAUUAACAUGGUUCUGUUGUCAGUUGGUUUGGUUUUUUUAUGAUUACAUUUAACUGCUUACAAUUAUAUUAUAGCAUUUAUCAAAAAAGAGAAUUUCAGUUGUUUUUUUUAAAAAUUAAAAAUUCUCAAAACAGGCUGUCUUAGUUGACAUUUCUUUGGAACCAUGUAGCCAAAUCUUAUUGUAAUGGGAUGAUAAAAUUUCUACAAAAAUGUUUUUAUGAACCUGUGUUUUUUCUUCAAGUAUCAAAUUGUUGGUUCAUGACCUCAUACUGCAACGAUCGAAGUGAUUUCAAGUUACGUAUUUAAGAUAUAUAUAUAUAUAUUGAGACUAGUCAACCUAUCAAAUUGUACAGGUAAUAUUCUCACAAACAUACGUCACUUACAAGCGUAUUUAUCAUGUAUACAUAUUAAUGUAAAAUAAUUUUACUAAAAUACAAAUAUUGCAUAUAUUCCUUCUGAUCAGAAAAUGAUCCAAAAUAGAAAAAUAUUUUCAAAUAUUUAAAAUAUCAAAAUUGAAAUAUGGUUGGAAUCCAAACUAUAUUUGAAAUUGUCAGUGCAUAUCAAAGGUAUUUUCUAAAGUUUAUUAUGCACGCAAUGGUUGUGGCCAGUCUGCCUUCUCGUUAAAAUCUGUUGCUCAAUCUACUGUUAUCACAUUUGGAAAUCAAUGUCGAUAUACUGUAUUUAUUUUUUAUACUGUGACUAGUGCUAUGAAAAUGUCAUGCUCGACUUCCUGUACAAUAUUUUGUCAAAAUGAUGUCAAAUGGAUAAAGUAUAAGUAAUAAUACGUUGUAUGUCCUUGCCGUUUUCGUUAUGGCAAAUGAAAUUUGUGGAAGGGAUUAGCAGUCUUUUCAAUUCAGUUAUAUUUAUGAAUAUGAAGCUGAUUUAAUUUAAUCAACGAAGUUUGAAACAUUUUAUAUUAAAAUUGCAAUACAAGCUAUUUUAUUUAAAUAAAAGGGUCUAGUUAUUGAAUAAUCAUUAACUGUUUCUUUGAAUCAUUGGUGCCAUUUGCUUCUGGAACCAGAUUUCAGAACUGGUUUUCAUACAUUUAAGAAAUGUGUAGCUUUUUUGCCAAAAUAUUGAUUUUCAUAUCACCAUAGUCAUCAUGUAACUGCAAUUGUUCAAGCUUGUGAGAUUACAAAAGUUUGUUCUGGACAGCUAAACAUUCUUGUUGCCAUUAUGGCGCCUGUGUAUCAUAUUCAUAUUGUACAUAGUCAUGUGAGGAACUCUGUGACCUCAUCAGUACCUGCCUGUCUGUCACUAAGAAACUGGAAUAAACUAUUUCAUAAUAA